rnacentral:rRNA from 1 species
UGCCAGCCGCCGCGGUAAUACAGAGGGUGCAAGCGUUGUUCGGAAUCACUGGGCGUAAAGCGCGUGUAGGCGGCCUUGUAUGUCAGAUGUGAAAGCCCCCGGCUCAACCGUGGGAAGUGCAUUUGAAACUACUAGGCUAGAGUACGAAAGAGGGAGGUGGAAUUCCUAGUGUAGAGGUGAAAUUCGUAGAUAUUAGGAGGAACACCAGUGGCGAAGGCGGCUUUCUGGACCGAUACUGACGCUGAGACGCGAAAGCGUGGGGAGCAAACAGGAUUAGAUA